UCCACUCUGAGUUUCCACAGUUUUCCACUCUGAGUUUCCACAGUUUUCCAUCGCGGCGCCGGUCCAACUUCCUGCCAAACGAUCCGGCAUUAAAACCUGAACUCAGGACUUUAUUCAGCUUCCAUGGAGACAUGAACAGUCAUAUCAACAGACUGAUGCGCCAUAAAUACUCCCUGCAUUUACUGCGAUAAACUAUAAUUAUUGUUUUCAGAUCAUUUUGAAAUAUUGGUAAUGCCAAAGUCUAAUAAACUAAUUUAGUAAAGAACUGGAGGAUAUUUUAAACGUCCUAAAUAAAACAUGACAACCAAUUAAGACAGAAACUAAGAACAUUUCCAACUGAAAACCUAAAGAUUGGAUUAUGACGUCUAAGCAAAAUAUUAAAGGAAAUCAUCUGAAUCCAUCAUGUGAUUAAUUGAUCAGUUAUCGGUUUACAGGAGUAAACAAAGACGCUGAAGUUGGUCUGGACAAUAAGGCUCAAAUAUAUCACAAUAUAAGAGUUUUACAUAAUUCGAUAUUGAUUAUUGAUUAGUUUUAACUAUCUGAAAUGUUGCCACAUUGGUGACGUGACGUUUCCCGUUUUGCCGUCUUCACUGCAUGUUGGUUUUUUUUUGAGGCAGCUGGUUGUUGCUAGGCAACCAAAGAACGAGCUAGCUUAGCUUAGGCGUGAGCGGCUGACCGGCUAAUGCCUUGUACUCUGCCUACAUCUCCCAGAAUGCUGUGCAGUUCUGUAGGUCAGUGAAUAUUCUAUAUAUUGAAUAUUUGAUAUCCUCGGAGGUUUUAUGUAUUGAUAUUGAUCAGGUGUCUGAUCUAUAUGGUUAUUGAUUGGUUGCCCAGCUCGGCUCCUCAGCAGCCUGAAUUAUUCUGACACUCAAACAUUUCUGCUUUCUUCUCACAUAAAUCUAAAACAGUCAGAAAUCCUCCCUGCAGUCAAACUCGUCUCGCUCUGAGAGAAGCUCAAACUUUCUGUGAGUGACGUCGACCUUUGACCUGAAGGACGAGCUCAGGCUCCUUAGUUCCCAUCUUCCAUUGUUCCGUCGGCAUAGCGACGCGGCUCCAUCGCUUCCUGAGACAGAAACCUGCCGGACGGGAAGCUAACGGGAGCUAACUGCCUCUCAGAAGAAGAAACGGUUGUAAAAUAAUAAUGACGUGAUUCUGAGGCAACGUUAAAACCGUCGGAAAGGAAAAACCAGAUAAUUACCUGAACCAGGCAUAAGGAAACGAUCACAGAUCCUGGUUCUCUCAGGUCGUCUCUCACCUGCCAGGUUACAUUUCAGUCCUUCUGUCUUUUCUAGAAAACUAGUAAUUAAGAGUAGAAAUAAACAUUUGGUUUGUUUAAAUCACUUUUGUGCUAACAGAUACAUAAAGCGACAUAUUGCAGAAGUUGCCUGACAAUAGUUAGAUCAUGUUCACCCAGCAGGCCUGGAGGCUCAUUUCCGUCUUUCUGCUGAAAUCCGAUCCAUUUCUGCGUUAUCGUUCAUGCUACUGAUUAAAUGCAGCCAUAAUCGGACCGUGUGAACGGUUUGCCACCCCAAAGUGACCCAAGAAGAAGAACGGAGCGGCCAUUUUACUGCAUGGACCGUGUGAACGGUUUGCCACCCCAAAGUGACCCAAGAAGAAGAACGCAGCGGCCAUUUUACUGCAUGGAUGGACGGUAACGCUGCUGAGAGCGACAGCAGGUCAGCAGAACCUGAUGAACUGAAAGCUGACAGCAACCAAACGGUCUUAGUGGAGAACCGGUUCUGACCCGGUUCUGUUUGGAUGUGGAGUCGGACCAGGAGUGGUCGGUUCGGAUGUGAUGCGUUCACUGACUCACUGCUUUCAUCACGUCAUUAUUACCGUUUUCAGACAUUGUUUACGUCCAGUUUCUUCUUCUGCUGCAGAAUUAUGGCGCAUGUCUCACGUUAGUGAGGAAAAGUCGGUAAAAUGCGACCUGAGCGUUCAGACGCUUCGAAAACUGAUUUGAAUUUAUUUCUGGGUGAAAAAUCCGAAUCGGGUUUUGGUCGCUUUCGGCUGCUGUGAUCCUCAGUGAUUAACAUGAACACAUCGACACCGGCUCAGAUUUACCCUUCAACCGAGUUUUGAUUUUUCCCUCCCAUUUUGUUGCCGUUUGUGUUUCUGGAGGGCGGGGUUACGAGCUUGGUCACGUGACAGUGAUGCAGCAGAGGAUUAUGGGUGAUGAGCUGAAGCAGAGUGGCUCCGUUAGCGGUGGGUUGGUUUGUCACCCGGUCAGGAGGAUGGAGAAGUUCACCUGGUGUCGGUAUCUGCCCUGAUUUACCUUCACAAGCAUUUAGCUUUUAGUUUCUCCUUGCGGUCCCGCAGCGAACGGCGUAGCUCGGCUCUGCUCUGCGGCUCGGCUCUUCGGCUCGGCUCUGCGGCUCGGCUCUUCGGCUCGCUGUACCUCGGUUUCCCUUUUAAAUCUUCAUUUCUCCGUGUGAACAGCACACGCGCACGUUCCAGUCGCGUUUCCAUGGCGACGUCAGAACGUCCCGCGUCGUUACAAAAUGGAGGGCGACGUGGGGCGGAUUGUUUCCUAAAACUGGUUCUGGGUCGCAGUGAGAUGAGAAUCAUGAAUCUUAUGUGGAGCUUUUUUUGAGGAACCCAAACCCGGGUCUGUGGCUCAGCAGCUCUCUGUGGGUCCGGCCUGGAAGCUGCUUGGUUCCGAUCCGGUGUCGGGUCUGGACUUUGUCAGUGACGUCAUCGCUGGCGUCCUGCCGUAAGCUGGGAGUGAUGUCAUCAAUGCUUGUUGUCACAAACAUGAUGGGAUUUCUUC